rnacentral:rRNA from 1 species
UACAGAGGGUGCGAGCGUUAAUCGGAUUUACUGGGCGUAAAGGGCGCGUAGGUGGUAAGGCAAGUAAGAUGUGAAAGCCCUGGGCUUAACCUGGGAAGUGCAUCUUAAACUGCCUAACUAGAGUAUGGUAGAGGGUAGUGGAAUUUCCGGUGUAGCGGUGAAAUGCGUAGAGAUCGGAAGGAACGCCAGUGGUGAAGACGACUACCUGGACCAAUACUGACACUGAGGCGCGAAAGCGUGGGGAUCAAAC